rnacentral:piRNA from 1 species
ACCCGAUAGACACAAAGACGAAUUCCCC